rnacentral:rRNA from 1 species
GGAAGCGAAGGAAACCAGUGCCGAAGCUUAUUCAUACUUCUCUUGCUACUUGUGGUAAGGGCGCUGUGGAUUUGCGUGGGUCAGCAUCGGCUCUUUGCUUGGGAUAUAUCUUUAGCGGGUAGACGACCUCUUUCGGGAGGUGAGUGCCCGUUAUUGCUAUCCUGGGUUGGGCCGAGGUCAGUCACUCUGUGCUCGUGAUGCUGACAAAAUGGUUUUCUUUACCCCGUCUUGAAACACGGACCAAGGAGUCUAACAUAUGUGCAAGUACAAAGGUGGCAAACCUGCGUGCAUAAUGAAAGUAACAGUGGUUGGAUCCCUUCGGGGUGCACAAUCCGCCGGCCAUCAUCCCUCGGGAGAACGGUCU